UACAGAGGGUGCGAGCGUUAAUCGGAAUGACUGGGCGUAAAGGGUGCGUAGGUGGUUUUGUAAGUGUGUUGUGAAAGCCCCGGGCUUAACCUGGGAACGGCAACGCAUACUGCAGAGCUAGAAUAAGUGAGAGGAGUGUGGAAUUUCCGGUGUAGCGGUGAAAUGCGUAGAGAUCGGAAAGAACACCAGUGGCGAAGGCGGCACUCUGGCACUAUAUUGACACUGAGGCACGAAGGCGUGGGGAGCAAACAGG
rnacentral:rRNA from 1 species